GAUGAACGCUGGCGGCGUGCCUAAUACAUGCAAGUCGAGCGAACAGACGAGGAGCUUGCUCCUCUGACGUUAGCGGCGGACGGGUGAGUAACACGUGGAUAACCUACCUAUAAGACUGGGAUAACUUCGGGAAACCGGAGCUAAUACCGGAUAAUAUAUUGAACCGCAUGGUUCAAUAGUGAAAGACGGUUUUGCUGUCACUUAUAGAUGGAUCCGCGCCGCAUUAGCUAGUUGGUAAGGUAACGGCUUACCAAGGCAACGAUGCGUAGCCGACCUGAGAGGGGGAGCGGCCACAUGGGAACUGAGACACGGUCCAGACUCCUGCGGGAGGCAGCAGUAGGGAAUCUGCCGCAACAGGCGAAAGCCUGACGGAGCAACGCCGCGUGAGUGAUGAAGGUCUUCGGAUCGUAAAACUCUGUUAUUAGGGAAGAACAAAUGUGUAAGUAACUAUGCACGUCUUGACGGUACCUAAUCAGAAAGCCACGGCUAACUACGUG
rnacentral:rRNA from 1 species